AACCCAUGGUGAGGGCAGCUUCUCAGUAAGUCCUUGUAUCACUGCCAUGCAUUGUAGUGUGUUUCUGAAUCCAUCUGCAUAAAAGAAGAGAUAUCAUUACAUAAUUU
rfam:Gossypium arboreum cultivar AKA8401 contig_80518_1, whole genome shotgun sequence.